GACGUGACUUCAGAGUUUGAUCCUGGCUCAGGAUGAACGCUGGCGGCGUGCAUAACACAUUCAAGUCGAACGGACUUAAUUCCUUCGGGGAUUAAGUUAGUGGCGGACGGGUGAGUAACGCGUGAGUAACCUGCCUAUAUGAGUGGAAUAACACAGGGAAACUUGUGCUAAUACCGCAUAAUUAUGUAUUUUUCGCAUGUAGAUUACAUCAAAGAGCCAAUCGCAUAUAGAUGGACUCGCGUCUGAUUAGCUAGUUGGUGAGGUAACGGCUCACCAAGGCGACGAUCAGUAGCCGAACUGAGAGGUUGAACGGCCACAUUGGAACUGAGAAACGGUCCAG
rnacentral:rRNA from 1 species